UAGUGAGCAUUCCUAUAAAAAAAAUACCACGAUGCAGUAUACUUCCCCAAAACCUCAAACCAGUAAACUACCCUCCCCAUAAUCUAAAUUCUCUCAACUCCAUUAACUGCCUCUUCUUGCUCAUCACAGUCCACCUAAUUACCCUAACAAUUCAAGUGAACAACAUGCUUAUAAUAGGGUAAAACCGACAAAUUUCUUCUUCCAAAAGGUCAUCCAAACAAAUCGCACAAACUUCGGACCCUUUGAAUCCCGACUUUGGGAAGGUUUUAAGCAAUUCUGAAAACCCUUAUGAUAAAUAAUAUUUGGGUCGUCAUUGGUUUCGCCGGUGCCGGAGAGCUCAUCAAUGGCGAGGCGUGGAGUGUCGGUGAUCACUUAUAAGAUCCUCACUUUGUCGAUCGGUCGUUCUUACUCUUUUCUUCUCACUAUCUGUUCUUCACUGAUAAUGUUAAUUACUCUGCCAUUAUCGCAUACUCGCAUCUAUAAGCAUUUCUCGUUAUUUUUUUUUAUAUCUAAUUAUUGUUUUUCUCAUGAUUUAGAUCUAUUUGAUGUUUUUUCUGUGUUUAUUUUGAUUUUAUAUUUUCUCGUUUUUUUUUUCAAUCUUAUAUUGAAGAUGGAUCAAUUCUUUUACGCUAAUUUCUGGUGUAAUUCAAUUGAAAUAGUAGAGUUAAAUUUCACUUAAAAUCGCAUUUGAUUCUUUUUAUUUCGUGUUCAUUUUUGAUAUAAUACGACUGGUUUACCGAUCCGAUUGAACUUCUUAGGUUUACUUACUAAUGAAAUGACAAUUGCAGUUGAUCUUUCUGUGAUUUGGUGAUGUAUUUAAAGUUUUGCAUUGUCUUGUUUACUGAUCAAAUUUUCCAAUUUUGAUUAGCGGUUGUAAUAACUUCUGUUCCAGACAUUGAUUGGGUCUAUCCAAGUUAGUCAUGUUCUCUGAUCAAAUUUGCUCGUGUAUAUUUGUUGUAGACCGUAGUAUAUGACUUUGCUGUUUAAGAAAAUACAACAUUCUUUUUCUGUCUUUUGUUUGGGGAGUUGGGGGAGGGGUGUUGUUUCGCUGGAGUAUAAGCGUAGGUUAUAAGGUACAUGGUGUGUACGUAGAGGCUAGAGCUAGGUACACCUGGAGCUAAUUUUUACUCAUUUCAGAAGACGUUGCUCAUUUGAUGUUUGAAUGUUGCUUUUGCUUAUAUCAAAAUUAUAAUUUCAAAGUCACUUUUGCUGAUUUUAAACAUUUCAUAUUUAUUUUUACUCAUUUCCAAGUUAUUUUGAUCAUUUGACUAGGUUUACCCAGGGCUAGAGCUACGUACGUGUACGGUAUAUGUGUUGGGUGGAAGUAGGUAGUAGUUUUAUGGUUGCUUACAAACUUAUGGCAAUUGCAGACAUAGUUUCUUGGGAUUCCUAGCACUUAUUCGAAAGAGAUGAUUGACGAGCUAAGAGAUACAUGGGUGAAAUAUUUAAACAAUCAAACACGAGAAGAUGGAGAUUAAAGACCAUGGUCAAGUUUCAAUUGUACAUAUUAUUUGCUCAAGUUAUAAUUUUAAUUUUCGUAGAUAUCAUUAGAUUAUAGAAAUUAUUGAUGCUUUCACUAGUGAAAUUUACUUUGUAUACAAUUAAAUGUAGAAAAUAUUUUUUUACAUUAUUAAUAAAGCAAGUAGGAAUUUAUGUUCCAUAAUAUUAUUAUUA